rnacentral:rRNA from 1 species
GGAUAACACUUGGAAACAGGUGCUAAUACCGCAUAAUAGUCGACACCGCAUGGUGUUGAUUUGAAAGACGCUUUCGGGUGUCACUGAUGGAUGGACCCGCGGUGCAUUAGCUAGUUGGUGAGGUAACGGCUCACCAAGGCGAUGAUGCAUAGCCGACCUGAGAGGGUGAUCGGCCACACUGGGACUGAGACACGGCCCAGACUCCUACGGGAGGCAGCAGUAGGGAAUCUUCGGCAAUGGACGAAAGUCUGACCGAGCAACGCCGCGUGAGUGAAGAAGGUUUUCGGAUCGUAAAACUCUGUUGUUAGAGAAGAAUAAGUAGGAGAGUAACUGCUCUUACCUUGACGGUAUCUAACCAGAAAGCCACGGCUAACUACGUGCCAGCAGCCGCGGUAAUACGUAGGCGGCAAGCGUUGUCCGGAUUUAUUGGGCGUAAAGCGAGCGCAGGCGGUUUCUUAAGUCUGAUGUGAAAGCCCCCGGCUCAACCGGGGAGGGUCAUUGGAAACUGGGAGACUUGAGUGCARAAGAGGAGAGUGGAAUUCCAUGUGUAGCGGUGAAAUGCGUARAUAUAUGGAGAGAACACCAGUGGC